GUGCUUCGAGAGGAAGCAAAUCAAGAUCCGCAAGCAGCGAAGGGGAAGAAGAACAGAAGUGAGAAGCCGAGAACCCCGCGACGCCACCGCGGCCGCUGAGCUUCCCCGCCGGCGAGGACUGGACCUCGCUUCCCCCGCUCCUCGGCUAGAUCCAGCGUGAUCCCCCACCACGAGGAAUGGGCUUGUGGACGUUGCUGGAGGGGUUUUUGCUUCUUGCAAAUGCAUUGGCGAUACUAAAUGAAGACCGUUUUCUUGCCCCCAGAGGAUGGAGCGUGUCUGAAGUCUCAGGAAAUGGACAAACAAAGUCACUGAAGGGUCAGAUCGUAGGUCUCAUCUACGCCACACAGUUUUUGAGGAUGCCAUUGAUAGCACUUAAUGUUCUUAUCAUUGUUGUCAAGUUGGUGUCAGGCUGACACUGUGAAGGUUUCAAUUGUUGGGUUUGAUUGAUUUCAAUUCCAGCAUGAUGUAAAACUAUUUUCACUAAAGAUUUCUGGAACUAUGUUAAUUUGUCUCUAAAUAUUCCUUCUUGUGAUUGUUCUAGUAAAUUAAUCUGAGCAA